AACUUAAGCAUAUCAAUAAGCGGAGGAAAAGAAACCAACAGGGAUUGCCUCAGUAACGGCGAGUGAAGCGGCACAAGCUCAAAUUUGAAAUCUGGCCCUCUCCGGGGUUUGAGUUGUAAUUUGUAGAAGAUGUUUCGGGUGUGGCCCCGGUCUAAGUUCCUUGGAACAGGACGUCAUAGAGGGUGAGAAUCCCGUAUGUGACUGGGUGCCUAUGCCCAUGUGAAACUCUUUCGACGAGUCGAGUUGUUUGGGAAUGCAGCUCAAAAUGGGUGGUAAAUUUCAUCUAAAGCUAAAUAUUGGCCAGAGACCGAUAGCGCACAAGUAGAGUGAUCGAAAGAUGAAAAGCACUUUGGAAAGAGAGUUAAACAGUACGUGAAAUUGUUGAAAGGGAAGCGCUUGCAAUCAGACUUGCGCCUGGGCGAUCAUCCGGGGUUCUCCCCGGUGCACUCGUCCAGGCUCAGGCUAGCAUCGGUUUCUGUGGCUGGAUAAAGGCCUUGGGAAUGUGGCCCCUCUCGAGGGGUGUUAUAGCCCUCGGUGCAAUGCAGCCUACGGGGACCGAGGACCGCGCUUCGGCUAGGAUGCUGGCGUAAUGGUUGUAAGCGACCCGUCUUGAAACACGGACCAAGGAGUCUAACAUCUAUGCGAGUGUUUGGGUGUCAAACCCAUCCGCGUAAUGAAAGUGAACGGAGGUGAGAACCCUCAAGGGUGCAUCAUCGACCGAUCCUGAUGUCUUCGGAUGGAUUUGAGUAAGAGCAUAGCUGUUGGGACCCGAAAGAUGGUGAACUAUGCGUGAAUAGGGUGAAGCCAGAGGAAACUCUGGUGGAGGCUCGCAGCGGUUCUGACGUGCAAAUCGAUCGUCAAAUUUGCGUAUAGGGGCGAAAGACUAAUCGAACCAUCUAGUAGCUGGUUCCUGCCGAAGUUUCCCUC
rnacentral:rRNA from 1 species